UACGUAGGUGGCAAGCGUUGUCCGGAGUUAUUGGGCGUAAAGCGCGCGCAGGCGGUUCGGCAAGUCCAUGGUGAAAGCGCCCGGCUCAACUGGGCGAGUGCCGUGGGGACUGCCGAGCUGGAGGGGAGCAGAGGCGAGUGGAAUUCCGGGUGUAGUGGUGAAAUGCGUAGAGAUCCGGAGGAACACCAGUGGCGAAGGCGGCUCACUGGCCCGUACUGACGCUGAGGUGCGAAAGCGUGGGGAGCAAACAGG
rnacentral:rRNA from 1 species